ACGGGAGGCAGCAGUGGGGAAUAUUGGACAAUGGGGGAAACCCUGAUCCAGCGACGCCGCGUGAGUGAAGAAGUAUUUCGGUAUGUAAAGCUCUAUCAGCGAGGAAGAAAAUGACGGUACUUGACCAAGAAGCCCCGGCUAACUACGUGCCAGCAGCCGCGGUAAUACGUAGGGGGCAAGCGUUAUCCGGAUUUACUGGGUGUAAAGGGAGCGUAGACGGCAAUGUAAGUCUGAAGUGAAAGCCCCGGGCUCAACCCGGGAACUGCUUUGGAAACUGUAUAGCUAGAGUGCAGGAGAGGUAAGUGGAAUUCCUAGUGUAGCGGUGAAAUGCGUAGAUAUUAGGAGGAACACCAGUGGCGAAGGCGGCUUACUGGACUGUAACUGACGUUGAGGCUCGAAAGCGUGGGGAGCAAACAGGAUUAGAUACCCUGGUA
rnacentral:rRNA from 1 species